GCAUAAAAUGGAAUUUUAUUUCAUAGUUCAGUAAUAAAGCACACACUAUGUAUUGUUAGAAAUAGUUUACUAAAUGAUGAUUUCCCUGUCACGAUUCUGUUACUGUAACUCACAAAACACCACUUAACAUUCCCUUUGUGUCUUCCUCACAUUUGGAGUCCUCAACAAGACUAAUUCACAUAUAACCAUAUUAAAAACUUCUAUUUGAACAAAUAAGUAAGCCAUCUUCCACAAAACAACCAGUGUCCUGGCAGAUCAUUAGAAAUUAGCAAUUUUGGAAUUUCUAAUUGGAAGCCACUUCCAUUUUGAAUCUCAUGGCAUCACAACACAGUAAAAUUAAAUUAAAAGACAGUACAGGAAACACAUAAUCAUAGCCUUUUGGCAACAGAAAAGUCAUGUAGUACAAUUUCUAUCUCAACGAAGGAUUGACAGCCUCCUUGAGAAAUGAUCAUUAGUCUCCUCCUAAGUGUGUCCAUGGCAGGGAGUGUGUUGGGAAAAGAAGUCUUUUACUUGGAAUCCUAUUAUUGUCAAAAACACAAAAUACAUCUACUCCUUAUCUGCUUGAAAAUUCUUCAGUUAGUUUAAAAUGCACUGAUGUCUCUGCUUGAUCUUCUGUUCUUCUGCAGACUGAGCCUUCACAGCUUCUUUAACUUGUUCUGCGCAGGGACCCUUCAAGGCUACUGGGUGGAUAAUGGUUUUAAUCAUCUCUUUCAGUGUGGCAUCUACAACUAUAUUUAAUGGACCUUCUCCAGAAUAAUUAAACACAAAGUCACAGCAGAUAAUUCAUGUCCAUUUUGGUGACACUGAGAUGACUCCUCCAAAUACUGGAAGUCAAGGACGGAGCCUAACCAAUGUGAGAAAGUUUGCAUGUGCAGGAGGAAUGUUGAACACCUCUGGUAAAAAAGUGAAGCAAGGAAAAUAAGCAAGAAUCAUAACUCUAGGACAAGCCCACAGGAAGACCUGUCCCAUUCCAUCUGGGAAGAAAUCUCCUAGGAAACAAGAUUGAUUGACCACCUGGAACACAGACUCAAAACUUAAAGUCGUCUUGGAGCUCCCAGCACUUUGCUGGCGCCCUGAUUGGCCCUCACCUGACCCACGAGCCGGGUGACGCCAGUGGCAGAAGAGCGGUGUCGUCAGCAUGAAAACCCGGAGCAAGGAGAGUUACACGUCUGAGUGUGUCAUCAGUUUUCAUGUGUGGUAUGCCAUUGGAAUAAACACAA